rnacentral:rRNA from 1 species
AAGUCGUAACAAGGUUUCCGUAGGUGAACCUGCGGAAGGAUCAUUAUUGUAACACAGGGGGUGCUGGGGCUGUCGCUGACCUUUAAGGUUGUGCACGCCUCAAGCAUUCUCUCAUUCACAUCCAUCACACCUUUGUGCAUCACCGCGUGGGCUCCCUUCUCUUUUAAUAAAGAGGGGUGCUUGCGUUUUCACACAUACACACACAAUUGCAUAGAAUGUUCACAUUUGCGAUCACACGCAAAUUAAUACAACUUUCAACAACGGAUCUCUUGGCUCUCGCAUCGAUGAAGAACGCAGCGAAAUGCGAUACGUAAUGUGAAUUGCAGAAUUCAGUGAAUCAUCGAAUCUUUGAACGCACCUUGCGCCCCUUGGCAUUCCGAGGGGCACACCCGUUUGAGUGUCGUGAAAUCUUCAACCUUCUCUGCUUCUUUUUGAUCAGGGAAAGGCUUGGACUUUGGAGGCUUUUGCUGGCAUCUGAUGAAGUCAGCUCCUCUUAAAUGCAUUAGCGGGGGUUUCCUUUUGUCAAUCCUCGACGUGAUAAAGUUCUUCUACGUCUGGGGCUUGGCUUUAAGACCCGCUUCCAAUGGUCUCGUCGAGACGCUUGGUCGAGUUUUGCCCCUCAGUUGGGGGAGGUGGGACUUUGGCCCAUAACGAACCAUUUGACCUCAAAUCGGGUGAGACUACCCGCUGAACUUAA